ACUUUUACCAGUUGUCUGUGUCUAGUGAAAUUUCCUGUGUUUUUCUUUCAUAUAUUUUCCUGCCUUAUUUUCAUUUGACAGCCGCUAGAGCAGGGAAUUGAUAUCGCACGGAGGGAAGGACGUUGACCAGCGUUUAAUCAGAUUUGGAAGCAGAGUUCGCAGAACUUUGUUAUCCCAUCUUGGGUCUGGGAGUUCGGUGUGGACUCAACUAACGAUACAAUUGAUUAACAACAUGCUGAUUAAAUAAAGACAGAUGCUUGUCUGCCUCUCCCUGCAAAA